rnacentral:misc_RNA from 1 species
UUUUUUCAUUAAUUUUGUAUAGUCAUUGAGGAGAAUAAACUCGACAACUUCUAAUUAUUGAAGUUCAAUAUCAGUUAAACAUUUGAAAUGUUACAUGUUUUUAAAAAUGGGCAUCCGAAGACACCACAAAUUUGAUUUAGUUCCGUGGGACGCAAAAGUCAGACUUGGGGAUAUUAUCCCCGUAUCCUUCUCUUGUUUUUUUAACAAUUAAAUUAUUAUCCCAAGAUUUUACUCCCAAGAUAUUAAUAUUAACUGAGAAAAAGAGGUGUGGUAAUGAUCCUUCCGCAGGUUCACCUACGGAAG